rnacentral:rRNA from 1 species
GAACUGAAGAGUUUGAUCCUGGCUCAGAUUGAACGCUGGCGGCAUGCCUUACACAUGCAAGUCGAACGGUAACGCGGGGCAACCUGGCGACGAGUGGCGAACGGGUGAGUAAUGCAUCGGAACGUGCCCAGUAGUGGGGGAUAGCCCG